rnacentral:rRNA from 1 species
AGACCCGAAACCCGGUGAUCUAGCCAUGGGCAGGUUGAAGGUUGGGUAACACUAACUGGAGGACCGAACCGACUAAUGUUGAAAAAUUAGCGGAUGACCUGUGGCUGGGGGUGAAAGGCCAAUCAAACCGGGAGAUAGCUGGUUCUCCCCGAAAGCUAUUUAGGUAGCGCCUCGUGAAUUCAUCUCCGGGGGUAGAGCACUGUUUCGGCUAGGGGGCCAUCCCGGCUUACCAACCCGAUGCAAACUGCGAAUACCGGAGAAUGUUAUCACGGGAGACACACGGCGGGUGCUAACGUCCGUCGUGAAGAGGGAAACAACCCAGACCGCCAGCUAAGGUCCCAAAGUCAUGGUUAAGUGGGAAACGAUGUGGGAAGGCCCAGACAGCCAGGAUGUUGGCUUAGAAGCAGCCAUCAUUUAAAGAAAGCGUAAUAGCUCACUGGUCGAGUCGGCCUGCGCGGAAGAUGUAACGGGGCUAAACCAUGCACCGAAGCUGCGGCAGCGAACGUAUCACCCAAGACAACUUUGCACAGUUAACGAUUGACGGAGCGAAGCGACGUCAAAGCGUUUUACAACGUCGAGUUGGCUUAGGGAUACGUUCGUUGGGUAGGGGAGCGUUCUGUAAGCCUGCGAAGGUGGCCUGUGAGGGUUGCUGGAGGUAUCAGAAGUGCGAAUGCUGACAUAAGUAACGAUAAAGCGGGUGAAAAGCCCGCUCGCCGGAAGACCAAGGGUUCCUGUCCAACGUUAAUCGGGGCAGGGUGAGUCGACCCCUAAGGCGAGGCCGAAAGGCGUAGUCGAUGGGAAACGGGUUAAUAUUCCCGUACUUGGUGUUACUGCGAAGGGGGGACGGAGAAGGCUAUGUUGGCCGGGCGACGGUUGUCCCGGUUUAAGCGUGUAGGUGUGUGUUCCAGGUAAAUCCGGUUCACUUUAACACUGAGGCGUGACGACGAGGCACUACGGUGCUGAAGCAACAAAUGCCCUGCUUCCAGGAAAAGCCUCUAAGCAUCAGGUAACAUCAAAUCGUACCCCAAACCGACACAGGUGGUCAGGUAGAGAAUACCAAGGCGCUUGAGAGAACUCGGGUGAAGGAACUAGGCAAAAUGGUGCCGUAACUUCGGGAGAAGGCACGCUGACACGUAGGUGAAGUGAUUUACUCACGGAGCUGAAGUCAGUCGAAGAUACCAGCUGGCUGCAACUGUUUAUUAAAAACACAGCACUGUGCAAACACGAAAGUGGACGUAUACGGUGUGACGCCUGCCCGGUGCCGGAAGGUUAAUUGAUGGGGUCAGCGCAAGCGAAGCUCCUGAUCGAAGCCCCGGUAAACGGCGGCCGUAACUAUAACGGUCCUAAGGUAGCGAAAUUCCUUGUCGGGUAAGUUCCGACCUGCACGAAUGGCGUAAUGAUGGCCAGGCUGUCUCCACCCGAGACUCAGUGAAAUUGAACUCGCUGUGAAGAUGCAGUGUACCCGCGGCAAGACGGAAAGACCCCGUGAACCUUUACUAUAGCUUGACACUGAACAUUGAGCCUUGAUGUGUAGGAUAGGUGGGAGGCUUUGAAGCGUGGACGCCAGUCUGCGUGGAGCCGGCCUUGAAAUACCACCCUUUAAUGUUUGAUGUUCUAACGUGGACCCGUGAUCCGGGUUGCGGACAGUGUCUGGUGGGUAGUUUGACUGGGGCGGUCUCCUCCUAAAGAGUAACGGAGGAGCACGAAGGUUGGCUAAUCCUGGUCGGACAUCAGGAGGUUAGUGCAAUGGCAUAAGCCAGCUUGACUGCGAGCGUGACGGCGCGAGCAGGUGCGAAAGCAGGUCAUAGUGAUCCGGUGGUUCUGAAUGGAAGGGCCAUCGCUCAACGGAUAAAAGGUACUCCGGGGAUAACAGGCUGAUACCGCCCAAGAGUUCAUAUCGACGGCGGUGUUUGGCACCUCGAUGUCGGCUCAUCACAUCCUGGGGCUGAAGUAGGUCCCAAGGGUAUGGCUGUUCGCCAUUUAAAGUGGUACGCGAGCUGGGUUUAGAACGUCGUGAGACAGUUCGGUCCCUAUCUGCCGUGGGCGCUGGAGAACUGAGGGGGGCUGCUCCUAGUACGAGAGGACCGGAGUGGACGCAUCACUGGUGUUCGGGUUGUCAUGCCAAUGGCACUGCCCGGUAGCUAAAUGCGGAAGAGAUAAGUGCUGAAAGCAUCUAAGCACGAAACUUGCCCCGAG